AGUCAAACAGGAAGAUCUGCAGGAACAAACAGAGGUACAGCAACAAAUCUUCUCCCAUGGGAUAUGAGGAAAACUUUCCAUUCCACCAGUUCAAUGCUGCAGUGCUGUGUUGUGUCCAAGAGGCCAUCCACCAAGCAAAUCCCAAAUGUAGAGGAAGAUGUGGGGUAGUCAAAGAAGGGGCCUUGAUGUGCAAAUGUGGAGUAGACCAAGUACACCUCCUCUUUUUCAGCAAUUAUAUUUCUGAUCUUCGCCACCUUUCCCUGAAUAUAGACAUUGCUGUUGGCUUCGUCCAGUUUGAGGGUGAAGGGCUCUGUGGUGUAUUGGCUGUACUGUUGUGACACUGAAACAAUGAUGGUAAUUUUCCAGACAUGUGUUUUUUUCUUACACCCAAACUUUCCUCUUUUUCCAUUUGGAUUGCCUCUCGCUCUGCAAGCCUCUUUACAAUUUGGCAGCAUGGAAAUUCUGGUUUCCUAACAAGCCUUUUCAGUUUUUGCACGUAAUUUUCAAAUUUGAAAGCACUAAAGGAAUCCAGAUUUCCAUGAACCUUCACAUCUUGUGCAAGGUGCACAAGGUUGUGCACAUUGUAGGAGAUGUGCAUGUGUCCAUACAGCUUUCCAAAGUGGUGAACAAACAACACAAGUGCAUCAUUUGCAUAGUCUGUUAACUCAAGCAGUGCUUUGUUCGACAGUAUGAACACUCCCGUAAACAGCAGUAGGAAAUGUUGAUAUAAAGCUGUGUGUAGGAAGUCUUUUAGGAGCACAGGACCGGUGUAAAGAAGGAACUGGCGGAGUUCAGAGGCUUUCCAUCAGCCUACCUCAUUCAAAGAUCUUGGUCUUCGUGCAAACUCAACUGGCACAUUUUUUCUGAUCUUUGACAGCUUUUCAGAAAGCAUAUCCACCUGCAAACCUGAGAGCCUGCAAACCAGUUGACCCUUGAGCCACAGGUACAAGAGUCACCUCAUCACCCCCAAACAGACAAGGUCUAAACAGAUGGCUAGAAGAGGAGAAUAUCCUAGAUGAUGUUCUUCAUCUAUCAUUUCCCGAAAAUCUUCAUCAGUGCGAACGGGGGCAUUUGUUUCAGGGAAUAUCACCCUAUUGCUCAAAUAUUUGCCUUCCUGCGUACAUUUCUCACACCCCGAGUAGCCUGUGUGCCCUUUUAUAUUUUUCAAAAAAGCUCGGGCGGGAGCAUCACAGACCAUUGAGCACAGUUUGAGCCUCAUUGAUAUUCCCUGAAAUGAAAAUCCUUUCUCCAACAUUAAAGUUUCAGCCACAAAAUCUUCCAGGUAUUCGGGAAGGCUUGCUGGCUUGCUAGUGCCACAGAAAAGCCCAAUUACAAAUGGGUGAUGCAGAGGGAGAUUUUUGAUGACUCCAAGAAUGGGCCAGAAUUGGGUGGAUGAACUUUUAAAUACUGGCAACCCAUCCACAUUUGCUUGGAGCUCUAAGCAUAACCCAUUAGCCAAUCCACAUUUGUUUGCCUCCAAAGUGCUCUUCAUUGAAUUCAGGAUACCAAAAUAAUGGUAUGUCCCACCAGCCUUUUCCUGGACCACCACUGACUCUGACCGAGAAGUCCUUAGAAGAGUCCUUGCAUCAGAUGGCAAUGAUGGAUGAUGCUCCUUCAGAAUUUCUAAUAAUUUAUUAAUUGCACUGUGUGUUGUUUUCUUUGGAGUGCCCAUGUUGCAAGUUUGCUUUGUUGAUGAGCUUCCUCUUCCUCACCAGAGCUGCUGUUUUCAGACUGUGAAAAAUCUAGCUCCUUAUGCAAAGAUGAUUCAUAGUCUUUGAAGUCCUCAUCUAGAUGUUCGGAAUUGUAAUUUGGUAGACUCUCAGCAUUAAAGGAAUUAUCAGAAGCACACUGAACUGACUUCAGUUGAUGUUUUACCCUUUCUCUAGAUUUGCGUUUUAAAGUGCAGUAAGAGGGUGUAUUUGCCAUACUUAAGAGACACACAUGAAACAAAAGAAAUACAAGACAAAGAAAACAAAGGACACAACAAGAAAUGACCAUGAGUAACACACACUGACUUUCCUAUGCUAGGGUUAGCUUACAUAAAUUGCUUCUACAUUGUUCAUAUGCAGACAAUGCCUGUUUGAACUGUUUCAAACAUUAAAGUUUUAGUACUUAAUAUUAAGCAAGAGUUCUUCAACUCUUUAUUUUGUGGCAAGGUCCCCUACACUCUUACAGGCUCAACCUAAAUAUUAUUUCUCAAUACAACACGGUUAUAAACAACUGCUAAUCAUCUGUGACAUACUUUUCUUUAAGGACAGUGUUAAUAACUUUGACAUGAUGUCUUUGUUAUUGCAUCUUUUCUACAAUAUGAUUAUAUUGUGUGUGUAUAUACUUUCUCUCUUUCUCUCUCUCUCUCUCCUCUAUUAUAUGCAUAAUUGAUAUUUUUAGUAUUUAUGGUAUAAAGUGUUCAGUGUAAAACCAGAAGUCUUUUAUUUUAAAUUAAUUACCAUUACAGAUAUAAAAAGACACGGAAAGAUCGCACAUGAUCACGGCGUCCCAGCUGUGCGGUCUACUACGGACUAAAGGUUUAGCUUCUGGUUUGAUUGGAGAACAAGGUACUGACACUUCGUUUAAUAUGUUUGUUUGUUUGUAUUGAGUUUGUAUAUUGAGUUUAAGUGAUGUCUGUUUGUUUGUAUAUGGUUUUCAUAUUUGCUUACAUUUGGUUUCAUUUUCUCUUUGUAUACAAGCUCUUACGGUGUUUGCCGUACGGUGCAAGGUGUACGGUGUUUGCCGUACAGUGUUUGGCCUGUGGUAUAUGGUGUUUGAUGUUGACGACGGCGUCAGUAAAGUUAAUGCUGCACUGAAAUAAAUCAUGGGAAGACACCAGUGAAAGUCAAUCCUUUAUUGAACCAGGGAGCUACAAUAAGAGCUUGCCACCAUUGGGUCGCUGCGCUGCUUGAGUGAGUGCUACGGACGGCAAUUAAAAGGACUUCUGGCAUCGGCGCGCUCGUUGGAAACGGUGUGAUUGCUCGCUACGGAUCAAGAUAAAGCAGACUUUAAACGGACGGAGCUACAAGGCUACACACAGCUGCACGGACUGAUCUAAUGGACUUCACGCAGGCCCGGAUUAAGAAGUCAUAGGCCCCUGGGCACAAUGUCUUGUAGGGCCCCCUACCUGGCUGAACCCCUUUAGUUAUAAAAAUAAAAAUAAUAAAUUCACAA